CGAGUUGUCAGGAGGAGACGUCAUUAGUUCGCUUGCUUUGCUGGAUUUUUCAAAUUUUUGUGUGCUUUCUGCGUUGGCGGGUGCCUUCAGAUUCGGUUUAUGAGUCUUGAGUUUUUGAUGUAUCUGACCAAGUGAUGCUGGAUCUCGAAUUGGGUGCGGUGAUCUAGUUCGAUGUUGAGGCCCAGCACGUUUGGGCGGUGCAGUGUAAGAGAGCAUGUUCAGUUGUUUCUGGCUCUUCGCACUCAAGGCAGUUUGGGUUUUCUUGUGGCAUCAGUCUGGCCAUCUGUGCCUUUAGUCUGUUGUGUCCGGUUCUCAGCCUGAAGAGUAUUUGUGUUAUCUUCCUAGACUUGUGCUGGUGCCAUUUGAGGGAUCCGGUAGUGCUUGUAGAUGGCUGUUUGCUCGGAGAUUGAUAAUGGGUUAUUUGAUCUGUUUGAGGAUUCGUUGGAUGAGCUUUCUUGUGAAGCUAUGGUGUCUGCUCUCUCAUUCCCCGGGAUGCAAACAUGGCUUGGGAUCCAACAGAUCCUGGUUUUGGUGAUGCUAGUGCUUUUACUACUGACUUGGAGUCAGUAUAGACGAUUAGUUCCUGGAUGUCUUGAGGGAGAUUGUACACUAUUUCCAUUGCCCUGUGGAUUCCGUAGGUUUCUGCCGUAAGGA